rnacentral:rRNA from 1 species
GAGGAAUUUUCGUCAAUGGGGGAAACCCUGAACGAGCAACGCCGCGUGCAGGAAGAAGGUCUUCGGAUCGUAAACUGCUUUUCUCUGGGACGAGAAUGGACGGUACCAGAGGAAGAAGCCCCGGCUAACUACGUGCCAGCAGCCGCGGUAAUACGGAGGGGGCUAGCGUUGUUCGGAAUUACUGGGCGUAAAGCGCACGUAGGCGGCUUUGUAAGUUAGAGGUGAAAGCCCGGGGCUCAACUCCGGGAUUGCCUUUAAGACUGCAUCGCUAGAAUUGUGGAGAGGUAAGUGGAAUUCCGAGUGUAGAGGUGAAAUUCGUAGAUAUUCGGAAGAACACCAGUGGCGAAGGCGACUUACUGGACACAUAUUGACGCUGAGGUGCGAAAGCGUGGGGAGCAAAC